rnacentral:rRNA from 1 species
UACAGAGGUCCCAAGCGUUGUUCGGAUUCAUUGGGCGUAAAGGGUGCGUAGGUGGCGAGGUAAGUCGGAUGUGAAAUCUCAGGGCUCAACCCUGAAACUGCAUUCGAUACUGCCUUGCUCGAGGACUGGAGAGGAGAUUGGAAUUCACGGUGUAGCAGUGAAAUGCGUAGAUAUCGUGAGGAAGACCAGUGGCGAAGGCGGAUCUCUGGACAGUUCCUGACACUGAGGCACGAAGGCCAGGGGAGCAAACGGG